CAGUGAACAGACAGUGACAAUACAGGGCCAGGAAAUACCUCGGGUAAGAGAAUAUAAAUACCUUGGUAUAUGGAUAAACGAAGUCAAUAGAUAUAUGGAAACACAGGAAGAAACAAUAACAGCAAAGGGGAAGAGAAAUGCAGCCGUAAUUAAGCACAGAGCGCUAUGGGGAUACAAUAUGUACGAGGUGCUCCGGGGUAUGUGGAAAGGUGUUAUGGUUUCAGGACUUACUUUUGGAAAUGCGGUUGUUUGCUUUGAAUCAAGGGUAUAAUCAGGACUCGACGGGAACCAAAGGUCAGUGGGUCGCCUCGCAUUGGGCGCUCACGGGAAGACUACAAAUGAAGCUGUGGAGGUUGAUAUGGGAUGGACUAGUUUUGAAGUGAGGGAAUCUCGCAGUAAAAUCGAUAAUGAAGAACUACUGAGGAAUAUGGAAGAAAGUAAAUGGGCUGAGAGAGUGUUGAGGUACGCCCGAUGAGAAGGCUUGAAUUUAGUGUCGACACACAGACACAAUCCUGGGGAAAGUAGCCCUUAACAGCUUCGCCAUAUUUCUUUCUCUAUGUAUUCGCUGCAAUAAAAAAAAAACGCCACGUAGUUCUGCGUCAGUAGCGUCUUUCUAGACGGUGGCCAGACGCCCCAGCAGCUAGCAGACGCCGACAGAAACAGACGGACGCGUAGGAAGCUGCGUCGAUGGCUGCACUGCAAGUGCUGCCGUGGCGAGAAUCGGCGCGGGAGCACAAUCAAGCGUCUUUCCUCUCUUCAGAUCACUAUCAUUAAGUAGUCCGGCAGCGUUUGGCAGUGCUUUCACGGUGCUUUCGGUUGCUCGGGACAGACGCCGAAUCCACGCAGCUUCCAUGUGCGACGGUUUCGCGUUUGCUCAGACGCGGAAGGGAAAAGCUUCAAAAUAAGUGAACUUUUUACACUCAUUGGUGUAACUUGCUAGCAACAGUUAGUUAACCGUCGCUAGUAAGGUGUUUGUGUUUUAUUUUCCCCAUCCAAACCUAACGUCUAAUAAAACGCGGGACUCCUUUCAGAAGCGCCCUCACUUGCGCGCGCUUUGCCUCCGUGGCUUUCCCAUAUAUGGCUUUCUCUUCAUAACCACAGAAAGUUGUCCGCGAGCGCUCCAGUGCGGACGUGGUUCGUAGCACGCGAGCUACUUCUUGAAGAUAAACUAAGAAGAAAAAAAAAAAGAAAGAAAAGCAAAUCGCGUGAUCUGCGAAGCUCGUGGCUCAUGCUCGGCUGGACUACCCGACGAGCCACCAUUCUUCUGACGUGGCCAUCGAACGAGAAGGACGUGCCCGGUGCGCGGUCCAUCAGGCUGGCGGUGGCCGCCGUUCCAGGCCGCGAGCGAAGUCAACGGAGGCCUACGGACUGGCCACACCGCUUCUGAGAAUGGGGACCGGCAGAGACGCAGCUCACCCAGCCAUCGUCUUUGUGACAGGGAGGGCACCCAAGGUGUGCCGGCGUUAGGUCCUGGACACGUCAUCGCAGACACGCGUACUCGGAGAGCCCUUGGAGCUGUUUGCCAAUACACGGCGCCUUCGUGACGCAUACCGUCGGCUUCCAAGGGCCGCGGGAACAGCCCCAGCGCGACCUACUGUGGCAUCCACUUCAGAUGAUCGCAGGUGAUCGUCAUCCUUCCGUAGAAACCAAAUCGACAUUGAGCAAUGGCGACCGCAGAUGGCCAGAGAGGAAGCCCGAAGCAAUUGGAAUUCCCUGUGCGGUUCUGGAUGCCAUUUUGUGUCCUCAUCAGUUCGUGCGCAGAGAAGAGGGCGCCGACGGUGGCAGACAUCCGCUGUUGCGAUCGGUCACGUGCGCGGCCGUUACGCGCUCUUCUGAGACAGUCAUCACUGCUGUCCCUGCUGGUUUAGCAGCCUACUCGGGGAGCCCUCGCCAGCCGACUGCUUUGGGGCAAGACAGUGCCUUCGUCAUUCCUGUGCGAGAACGGAUUGCAUUCUAUGGACACGCGCGGCCUACUGUGGCAUCCACUUCAGACGACGGCAGGUGAUCGUCAUCCUUUGUAGAAACCAAAUCGACAUUGAGCAAACGACGAAGUCCACAUUGAACAAAUGAGCAAGUCGACAUUGAGCAAUGGUGACCGUGAACGGCCAGAGAGGAAGCCCGAAGCUAUUGCGGGCGCCUACUGCUACAUACGCUUCUGCUGAUUGCUGAGUCAUGGUUGCUUCGAAGCAAGACGAGUCGAUGCUGAGCAAAGGAGCCCAGAGCUGCCGAAAUGGACAUCGGGUGUUUCCCUGUGCGGUUUCGGAUGUCGUGGAAUGCCACCAUUGUUUCCCAUUUGGUGCACUGAGAAGGGUCUAGAAGCCUACUCGGGAGAGCCCUCGCCAGCCGACUGCUGUGGGCCAAGACACAAUGCCUUCGUCAUUCCUGUCUGCGGACGUAACGCCACAUACGGCCGUGUGCGGUCUACUGUGGCAUCCAAUCUAACGGAUCGUGUCUGUGGCCGAAUUACCGAGGCGGAGACCAAUACCAAUGGACAUCUACGUCGAUUGUCGCCUGCACGCACACGCAUCUCGGAGGCCGUCAGGGGAUGCCUCGUAACGCUUUCGCGCGACCUACUGUGGCAUCCACUUCAGGCGAUCGCAGGUGGUCGUGACUGCUGCGUAGAAACCGAGUCGACAUUGAGCAAUGGAGCUCGAAGUUGGCCAGAGAGGAAGCCCGAAGCUUGAAUUGCGGGCGCCUACUGCUACAUACGCUUCUGCUGAUCGCCGAGUCAUGGUUGCUGCGAAGAACACGAGUCGACACUGAGCAGAGGGACCAAGAGCUGCGGAGGCCAACACGAGUCGACACUGAGCAGAGGGACCAGGAGCUGCGGAGGCCAACACGAUUGGAAUUCCCUGUGCGGUUUCGGAUGUCGUGGAAUGUCAGCACUUAUAUUCCAACUUGUGCACUGAGCAGUGCGGUCUACUGUGGCAUCCACACAAGCCGAUGGUUGGUGGUCGUGAUCUUUCUGCAGACAUCGAGUCGACACUGAGCAAUGGAGUUCGAACUCACCUAGAGUGAGAGCGGACGCUAUUGCAGCGCCUACUGCUACAUACGCUUCUGCUGAUUGCUGAGUCAUGGUUUCAUCGGACAAGACGAGUCGACGCUGAGCAAAGGAGCCCACAGCUGUUGAGGCCAACAUAACUGGCUGCACCGACGGCCCUGACAUCCGCUGUUACGAUCACGUGCAAAGCCGUUACGUGCUCUUCAGCGAGGCAGUCAUCGCUGCUGUCCGUGCUGUACCUCACUAUUAGCAAGGUUUAGCAGCCUACUCGGAGAGCCCUCGCCAGCCGACUGCUGCGGGCCAAGACACAGUGCCUUCGUCAUUGCCGCCGGCU